UAGAGUGGAAUGAAGAUAUUUAUGACAGAAGUUCUCUCUUCUUUAAUCUCUAUGUUCAACUCAAAGAAUACUUAGAUGACGCUGGUCAGAUGGUUUUCAAAGAUUCCUGUCAUUGUAUCAACCAUUUCCUGAAAGAUGGGAAAUUGAAAUAGAAGGGGACCAGUGGCCGUUGUUCUAUGAAAUGCUGAGUCAUCUGCCAAGCCAAAUAACUUUACACCUGAUGAACAACCACAUAAAUGAAACAGACUGUGCACAUUUGUUUAAGUGCCUGAAGCACAUCUUUCACUUGAGCUGCUCUGAGAAUGUCCUGUUGACCUGCUGUAAAGUCCUUUACCCUUUACGACAACGUAAGGCAAAUCUCCUGUUUGAAAAGUUGGGUCAGACCAUUGAAAUAAACAACAGUCAUCUGAAGGACAGCUCCUGUAAAUAUCUGGGAAAAUUAAUGUCUCUUUCUGGGCAACAUCUGAGCCUGACACUUACUCCCAAAGCCAUAACUUUGAGAGGACUGCUGCUGUUGUGCAAAUCAUGGCAGUGUCUUCAGACACUGAGAAUAACUGAAGUCACAAUUAAACGUAUUUCAAAGUUAAUAAGAAUGAAAAGAAAAAUACUCUGUCAACAUAAAAAAUAGUCAUCCUCAGGGACAGGCAGCAUUCCACAAUCAAAGGAUCCCAUCUUAUUAGUAAUCUGUCCAUAAUACUGAGACACUGGAGCAUCAGUAAACUUGACCUCAGCAGCUGUGACCUCGAUGGACACUUAAUGAUAAACCUUCUGAGUCUCCAGGAUCCCAUCCACCUUAAAUUGUCUAAGAAAACUCUCAGGACUUGGCCAUUACAGUUUAUGAAGCACAAGAUGUCCUCCUGCUGAAGAACUUACUCCAAAAUUUGGGAUAAAUAAAAGGCUUUCCCAAAUGCUGCUGAAGAUCAUUUUUGAUUCAGGCAGAAUGGAGCUCAUCGACUUGUGGUUACAACUGUCAGAGCCAGACUAUCAUGUUAAUUUUAAUAGCAUGGAGUUGUGUUUAAGUCACCAAAAGCUCUCCGACUUAUCACUGAGCACUCAUGUGAUGUGCGACUCAGCAUGUUAUGUUCGUCCUUCACAGAUGAGAUGACAGAAGAGUUACUUUCUUUAAUAGGAAGAGUGUCUAAACUAUGUUUGGACAGAAAUACUUUGCUCAAGUUUCUUCAUAAACUCAUAGAAGUGAAUCAACCACAAAUUGCACAAAACUUAUUCAAAGCACUUCAUUGGAUCUUGGACUUCUCUUUACCAUCUACGAAAGACAAUUCAAGUGACAACACUUCAGAUCUCCAUCUACUGAGCUUCACUGAUUGUUUGGCCAUCUCAAAAUCAUUGAGGUUGCAGAAAAAUAAAAUUACACUGAACAUUAGCAAUUGUGACAUAGAAGAUGAUGGACUUGAAAUCCUGUUUCGGAUCUUUGACAAAAGUUCACCUGAGAACAGAUAAACAACUUUUACUGAGACUUCUGUCGAUGGUAGAUGAGAACAAUAAAAGAAGAAUCAUCUCACUUGGCACAGCCAUCAAUAGUACCAUUGAUCUGAGUGGCACCCUCUAUCAGUGGACAAUUGCAGAUCACUGGCCAAUGUGAUGAACUACACUGAAAAUGACUGUGUUGUCAACUUAAGUAACUGCAGCCUUUCUAAUAGAUGCAUCAACCAGCUGACUGCAUGUCUACACAAAAUACAAGACUUGGAUCUGAGUGACAACAAAAUCACAGACUCUGGAGCAACAACACUUCACAAAGCUUUGCAUGGGAAAGCCAACCUGAAGACUGUGAGACUCUACAAUAAUAUGAUAUCAAACCACGCGAUCUUUGCAGAAGACCAGCGUUAUGAAAUUGACAGCUGUAAUGCAAUAAGAAGUGAAGCAAUGUGCCACCUUUUAUUGGCUAACUGAACCAAUUACAAUAUGCAAGCUUUCGAGGCAGUUAUGGCCCUUCUUCAGGCAAGAUGGCUUCUCAUUUCAUCUAUAAUAGCUAACAUGAUACAACACCUACUACUACAGGCAGCUGCAAUGGAAACACAAAGCACUUAUUAUUUGGUUUGACAUUGUUUCUUUUAAUAAAGCAUCUUUUUUAUUUUGAAAACUGUUUUUAAUGUAGAGCCCUUGUUUGCUUUGCCUUUCUGUCUGAUUCAUGUGCAAACUUCCAUAAAAUAAACGUAUUUUAUUA